UCUACAUCAGAUUCGGAAGGCCGAAUUCAUAGGGGACGAGGUGAUGUGCAUCAAAGCGAACCUGAAAAGGGAAUGGGAAGCAGGACUGGAGGCAGUACCAGUAAUGGAGAUGAUGAUGAGGAUGACUACUAUGGCAGCGAGGGAGAUGAUGACUAUGGCGAGGAUGGUCUAUAUGGUGAUGAGCCAUAUGAUUACUAUGGUGGUGAGGGAUAUAAUGACUAUGAAGAUGAGGAAUAUAAUGAGUAUGUCAAUGAUAAUGAUGAUUGGCCAUAAAAGUCUAGUGAUCUUCAAGUCAUGCAAAAAUCAAGUUAUGUUAGAUGUUUGAAAU
rnacentral:rRNA from 1 species